rnacentral:tRNA from 1 species
UUCCUGGUGGUCCAGUGGAGGAGACUCUGCCCUCUCAAUGCAGGGGGCCCAGGUUUGAUCCCUGGUCAGGGAC